AUGCUAAAGUCUGAGAACCACUGUUAUCUGAAUCCAAAGGCAUUUUGCAAGUUGCAGCAAAAUGGGGACCAGGGGAAGUCUGAGGGUGUGACGGUGGCUCAAAUUGCAAUUGUGGCCACCACUUCCACUCCCGGAAUAGUCCGGAACAGCAAGAAGAGGCCGGCCAGCCCUUCCCACAACAGCAGCAGCGGCGGGGGCUAUGGCUCCAGUAAGAAGAAAAAAGUGUGCGCCUCCAGCUUUGCGCAGGGUGUCAGCAUGGAAGCCGUAAGUGAGAAUGAAAUGGUGCCCUCUGAGUUUAGCACAGCACCUGUGGAAAAAGCUACCAAAUCUUUGCCAUUUAAGGAUCCCAACUUUGUGCACUCUGGCCACAGUGGUGCGGUAGCUGGCAAGAACAGAACCUGGAAGAACCUGAAACAAAUCCUGGCUUCCAAAAGGGCAUUGCGUAGCAACUGAACGAUCCUAACUGCUUCAGUAUUGAUGCUCCUCCAUCCUUUAAGCCAGCUAAGAAGUAUUCUGAUGUUUCAGGUCUUCUUGCCAACUACACAGACCCCCAGAGCAAACUGCGGUUCAGCACCAUCAAAGAGUUUUCCUAGUUCGGAGGCUGCCCUCUGACGUCGUCACUGGCUACCUGGCCCUGAGGAGGGCCACGAGCAUCAUUCCCGGAGCCCAAGAAGUGGAGGUGAAGUGCAAAGCUCUUUUAAAAACAGACCCUGGACUCGUGAUUUUGUUUCAUGGAAACAAACUCGUUCUGCUGUCAAUCUGAAAUGCCAGUGCUGUGCCUUGGAAAGAAUGUUUGGCUUUGAUUUAAGCGAUUUUUUGAGUGUGUGUUUUCCCUCCAAGUGUGAUAUUUCCUGCUGAACUAAAUUGUACUUCAGUUGUUGCCUCAAGUGAAGGUGUUUGACAAGAAAAUACAAUAAAACCAUACUUUUCAUUUAAAAAAAAAAA